rnacentral:rRNA from 1 species
CCUACGGGGUGCAGCAGUGGGGAAUAUUGCACAAUGGGCGCAAGCCUGAUGCAGCCAUGCCGCGUGUGUGAAGAAGGUCUUCGGGUUGUAAAGCACUUUCAGCGGGGAGGAAGGCGUUAAGGUUAAUAACCUUGGCGAUUGACGUUACCCGCAGAAGAAGCACCGGCUAACUCCGUGCCAGCAGCCGCGGUAAUACGGAGGGUGCAAGCGUUAAUCGGAAUUACUGGGCGUAAAGCGCACGCAGGCGGUCUGUCAAGUUCGAUGUGAAAUCCCCGGGCUCAACCUGGGAACUGCAUUCGAAACUGGCAGGCUAGAGUCUUGUAGAGGGGGGUAGAAUUCCAGGUGUAGCGGUGAAAUGCGUAGAGAUCUGGAGGAAUACCGGUGGCGAAGGCGGCCCCCUGGACAAAGACUGACGCUCAGGUGCGAAAGCGUGGGGAGCAAACAGGAUUAGAUACCCGAGUAGUC